rnacentral:rRNA from 1 species
UAGCGAAGGGGGCUAGCGUUGCUACGGGAAUGACUGGGCGUAAAGGGCGCGUAGGCGGAUUGUACAGUCAGGCGGUGAAAUUCCCCGGGCUCAACCUGGGGGACUGCGCUUGAGACGUGCGAUCGUUGAGUGGGGAAGAGGGUCGUGGAAGUUCCCAAGUGUAGAGGUGAAAUUCGUAGAUAUUGGGAAGAACACCGGUGGCGAAGGCGGCGACCUGGUCCGAUACUGACGCUGAGGUGACGAAAGCGUGGGGAGCAAACAGG